ACAUUAUAAUAUUAUUAUCCGUGGAUUCACUGAAUUUUGUUGAGUUCACUUAACCAGGGAUGGUUAAGUGAAACUGUGCGUUUUGUUUAAAUGAAAAAAAUAAAAAAAUAAAACCCUAAGCCACCAAAUCCCCUUCUUCUCAUCGUUUCUCCUCAACAAAAGCAGAGACAGCAGUAUGGUCACCAUGGGGAUUUAAUCGAGUCACGGCGAGUUCGACCAGUGAUCCAGGAAGUUUGAGCACAGACUGAUGAAGCUAUUCCCCACCAAAUCGAUGCAGUCUCCUUUGCCCUAACUGAUGUCCGGUAAAGCUUGUAUGUCCUUUGAUCAAAGAAGAAUAGCCCAGAUUUUCUGACCCCAAUCCAUGGUGUUUCGGCCAUCAACGUUAAACGGUAUAGUGGCCGAUGAAGUUAUUAAGGAUGGCAGGAGGGUGUAAUCUAUGACCUUGAUUGAUCUCGCUAGCUUGUGACCGAUCUUGCCGAAGAAGCAGAGAGUAGCGCUGAAGCGGAAAAGCAUGACUGCGACUCGCUCUCUACUGCGCUAGCUAAAAGAGAAAGAGAGAGACUGGAGAUGGAGUGAGCGAAAGAGGAACGACGACAAGAAGCUCUGGUUGGAGCGACUUAAGCUAAGGUCACCGAAAACGUCAAAAGAAAGGAGAAAGAGGAUUGUCUCGAUCGACAAGCCCCUUUGUCUCUCUCAUUAGCGCCGCUUAAACAAGAACGAAGGCAGAAAGCGAUAGCCAGAGGUGCCACCGGUGAUGUGAGGUGGUUAGAUUGGCAGAGCUUUGAGCUCCGGUGAAAGGAAAACAAAUAGCAUAGGGGUGGGGGCUGUGGUGCGAUUAGGAAGGAGGAGAAGGGAUUUCGGGUUAGUUGCUGAUUUGAUUUGGCUCGAUUCAUGAAUUUUUGUUGCAUAUCCAAUGUAGCAAAAUUAAUUGUGACUUAGAAUUGUAAUUUUCUAUGUCAUUCGCGCAUGCUGUGCACAACCAAUUUACUACUCUGACGAGGUGUGCAAUUAUUAUAAAAAGAAAAAUUUAGGGCUCCGCAAGGUCACUUUCAAAGUAAAGGAGACCAUAAGACUUUUUUGCGCAAAUUUAAGAGGCAAAUGAUCAUUCGGCUCAUUCUUAAAAUGAAAUAA